CUACUACCGAUUGAAUGGCUCAGUGAGGCCUUCGGACUGGCUCAGAGAGGUCGGCAACGACCACUCAGAGCUCGGAAAGUUCGUCAAACUUGGUCAUUUAGAGGAAGUAAAAGUCGUAACAAGGUU
rnacentral:rRNA from 1 species